rnacentral:rRNA from 1 species
GACGGAGGGUGCUAGCGUUGUUCGGAAUUACUGGGCGUAAAGGGCGCGUAGGCGGCUACGGCAGUCGGGUGUGAAAGCCCGGGGCUCAACCCCGGAACUGCAUCCGAUACUCUGUGGCUAGAGACCGGAAGAGGUGGGUGGAAUACCCAGUGUAGAGGUGAAAUUCGUAGAUAUUGGGUGGAACACCGGUGGCGAAAGCGGCUCACUGGUCCGGUUCUGACGCUGAGGCGCGAAAGCGUGGGGAGCAAACAGG